CCAGGUGCUGUUGCCGUACACAAGCAGAAGCUGUUGUUAGCAGGGUUUUUGGACUACUUCCGAACUUAACCGCGGCCGCACCAUUUCUGUCUUUAUAUGCUAAAUCUUGUGUUUCUAUGCUGUUAUCACAGUCAAGGCAGAUUUAUACUUCAAUGUCAAACGCGUCUGCGUAGGAUUCGCGGACAGCGCAGAGAGCCGCACAGGCCCGCACAGCCAGGCCGCAUAGGCUACGUGCACCAAAUCUAAAAGCGCGUAGCUAUGGCUUCACAUGAGUCAAUACCGCAUCUUACGUUUUGUUCCCAGGUGGGAGCGGGGUCACUUGUAAACAAAAACAAAAAACUUGUAACAAAAGUUGGGCUAGUUUUUUGUAACAACAUUUUGGACUGGUUUUGAGCAGUCGUUGUCUUGGAAAUUUGUACUUAACCUGGCAUUGUGGGUUAUCAUGAGCACGGGGGGAAGGUGGCAGUGACAUUCAUACGUUUUCUGGGCAGCCUAAGCUGAGAGCAUUGGGAAAAUGAGUCCCAGUCAGAUGAUAUAAGGAUACAGUAGCACAAGAGAGUAAAGAAAGAGAGGGGGAGAGAGAGCAUGAGGAUGUC